rnacentral:misc_RNA from 1 species
GAUGAAGAACGUAGCGAAAUGCGAUAAGUAAUGUGAAUUGCAGAAUUCAGUGAAUCAUCGAAUCUUUGAACGCACAUUGCGCCCGCCAGUAUUCUGGCGGGCAUGCCUGUUCGAGCGUCAUUUCAACCAUCAAGCCCCAGGCUUGUGUUGGGGACCUGCGGCUGCCGCAGGCCCUGAAAACCAGUGGCGGGCUCGCUGUCACACCGGGCGUAGUAGAUUUUAUCUCGCUCAGGGCGUGCUGCGGGUUCCGGCCGUUAAAAAGCCUUUUUUACCCAAGGUUGACCUCGGAUCAGGUAGGAAGACCCGCUGAACUUAAGCAUAUCAAAAGCGGAGGA